GCAUCUUUUCCAAUACCAUCCAGAAGCUUGCCCAGUGGGCCUUUGUAUGAAGUAGUAAUGGCAAUAGUGAAGAAAGCUAUGUCUUCAAAACCAAAGACUUCCUCUCACCAGGGCUAAUCGUGCUACCAACAUUGCAGAAAUUCUAGAAUGAUAUGAACAGAGACAAAGGCUGAUCCCCAAUAUGGCACCAUUUUGUUUGGGGCAAGUCAUUCAUCUGGAGGCACGUGUAUGCCAUCAUAUUGGGAAUAUGUGUGCUAUGUCCUCACAAAAAUAAAUACUUGUUCUAGAUAAAGAUUUGCCUUUAUUGAACACAAUGUUUGGCUAUCACCACCAUAUGUAAACUAAAAAUAUCUUAUUCAUUGCCAUGAAAUUUCAUAUAAUAUUAACUUUAACAAAAUAAUUCAUUUUGUAGGGAGAAAAGGAAGGCAAUGGACAUACACCUACAAAAAUCAUAGGUCUUAGCAUUUGUUCCACCAAAUGAUAAAAUGGAGGAAUGACCUUUAAAAGUCUCAGUUCCAGGUAAAAUAAUCUAUAACAUUAGGGUCUUAUAAGAUGUGGUAUAUAUCUUAAGUCAAAGGCUGAUAUGUGUUGCCAUUUUCCCCCAUCUUCAGACUACCCCAGGAUGGAAGUAAAUGUGGCCACCUCACACUUGAAUAAGUGUAUAAUGGAACACACACUGUGUUUAUCAUUUGCAUUUCCCUGAUGAAUAAUGAGGUCAAUCAUAGUUUUUAUAUACUUAGUACCAUUCAUUUGUCUUCAUGGGUGAAAUGUUUCUGCAAAUAUUUUGCCCACUUAAAAAUUGGAUUAUUUUAAUACAAUUUUUAUAUUCUGUAUAUAAAUGCAUCUUGAUGUGAAUCUCUUUACAUUCUGGAUAUAAAUCUUUUAUUAGAUCACCCUUUCAGUCUGUGACUUGUGAUUUCUUUAACAGUAUCUGUAAAGAGUAGAAAUUUAUAAUUUUGAUGAAAUUUAGUUAAUUAAUUUGUUCUCUUAUGGAUUAUGCUUUCAGUUGUAUCUAAGACAUUGUUGACUAACCCAAGGUAACAGAAGUUUUCUACUAUAUCUUCUUCUAAAAGAUUAAUAACUUUAGAUAAUACAUAUUGCAAGAUAUAGAUUGGAGUUAUUUUGCUAUAUGUGAUUAGCUAAUUGUUCUGGCACCAUUUCUCAAAAAGGCUAUCAUUAGCCCACUAUAUUGUGUUUGCACCUUUGUCAAAACUUAGUUGUCAAUAUAAGUAUAUGGGUAUAUAUCAGAAUUCAUUUCUAUUUCAUUGAUUUGUCUGUUUUUAUACCAUG
rnacentral:lncRNA from 1 species